UCCUACGGGAGGCAGCAGGCCUUCCAGCGGAUGGUGGAACUGCAACAGGCCGACCACGGCUACGGGAGGCAUCCGGGAGGCAGCAGCAGGAAUUCGGCGUAGGAGCGUCGCGAGAUUUCCUACGGGAGGCAGCAGUGGGGAAUAUUGGGCAAUGGGGGAAACCCUGAAAUAGCCCAAUCGCGACUGUGAAGAAGGCCUUCGGGAAAAACCACUUUUGUCAG
rnacentral:rRNA from 1 species